AUCCAGACCCGUAGAAGUAUGAGAGGCUAAAGAAGCAAGUUUAUAUCUUAGAAUUUCCGAAUUAAUUUGUGCAGCUGAUCCCACGACACUACCAUAUGUACCUAACCCAGUAGCUAAAAUAUCUCGUCUAGGGCGAUGGUGUGAUCGAAGUGAUACAUUAUACAACAUGCUUUCAUAAAACCACCACUGAAAAGCUCUUUCCUGUACUGAUAGGAAUGGCGUCCAAUUGGAAUAUUGUGUGGAAACCAACCAUUUAUUUAAUUGUAAGUGCCAGGUAACCAAACGAUAUGAAACAUCAUAUGCUACAUGUGUAGCAGAGUCCAAACGAACUUGAAUAGGGUCACCUUCC